rnacentral:rRNA from 1 species
UACAUAGGUGGCAAGCGUUAUCCGGAUUUAUUGGGCGUAAAGCGUGCGUAGACGGUUUAACAAGUUUGAGGUCAAAGCCCAAAGCUUAACUUUGGUGUGCCUUGAAAACUGUUAGACUAGAGUUUGGGAGAGGUUGAUGGAAUUCCAUGUGUAGCGGUGAAAUGCGUAGAUAUAUGGAGGAACACCAGUGGCGAAGGCGGUCAACUGGCCCAUCACUGACGUUUAGGCACGAAAGCGUGGGGAGCAAAUAGG